GAGGAAUAUUGGUCAAUGGGCGAUAGCCUGAACCAGCCAAGUAGCGUGAAGGAUGAAGGUCCUACGGAUUGUAAACUUCUUUUAUACGGGAAUAAAGUAUCCUACGUGUAGGAUUUUGUAUGUACCGUAUGAAUAAGCAUCGGCUAACUCCGUGCCAGCAGCCGCGGUAAUACGGAGGAUGCGAGCGUUAUCCGGAUUUAUUGGGUUUAAAGGGAGCGCAGACGGGAGAUUAAGUCAGUUGUGAAAGUUUGCGGCUCAACCGUAAAAUUGCAGUUGAUACUGGUUUCCUUGAGUGCAGUUGAGGCAGGCGGAAUUCGUGGUGUAGCGGUGAAAUGCUUAGAUAUCACGAAGAACCCCGAUUGCGAAGGCAGCUUGCUAAACUGUAACUGACGUUCAUGCUCGAAAGUGUGGGUAUCAAACAGGAUUAGAUACCCUGGUAGUCCACACGGUAAACGAUGGAUACUCGCUGUUGGCGAUAUACUGUCAGCGGCCAAGCGAAAGCAUUAAGUAUCCCACCUGGGGAGUACGCCGGCAACGGUGAAACUCAAAGGAAUUGACGGGGGCCCGCACAAGCGGAGGAACAUGUGGUUUAAUUCGAUGAUACGCGAGGAACCUUACCCGGGCUUAAAUUGCAGACGAAUUACGAGGAAACUUGUAAGCCGCAAGGCGUCUGUGAAGGUGCUGCAUGGUUGUCGUCAGCUCGUGCCGUGAGGUGUCGGCUUAAGUGCCAUAACGAGCGCAACCCUCGUGGUCAGUUACUAACAGGUUAAGCUGAGGACUCUGGCCAGACUGCCAUCGUAAGAUGUGAGGAAGGUGGGGAUGACGUCAAAUCAGCACGGCCCUUACGUCCGGGGCUACACACGUGUUACAAUGGGAGGUACAGAAGGCAGCUACCCGGCGACGGGAUGCCAAUCCCCAAAACCUCUCUCAGUUCGGACUGGAGUCUGCAACCCGACUCCACGAAGCUGGAUUCGCUAGUAAUCGCGCAUCAGCCACGGCGCGGUGAAUACGUUCCCG
rnacentral:rRNA from 1 species